GCCUGUGGAGUGGGCAUAGAUCGAUCGCUCCAUGCAACUCAGACAGCUGCUGCCCGUAGUCCUCGCCCAGAAGGUUGACUCAGGCUCUUCAAGUCCGGUGGCUGGAGCUAGCCGCAGUGGGGAGCUCCCAGGGGUCUUUUUAUUUACUGUGCUUCUAUUAGCAUGAGCAAUAACUUAUGAAUAGAACAUGGAUUUGGAACUUGGAGGGGUUUUGUGGUUUGGUUUUGGUUUGUGUUUUGUUUUUUGUUUUUUUUAUUUUAUCUGAAGCAUUAGGAUCGUCUCCCAGGCACAUUGGCACAAAAAGCACGAAAAGAUGACAUUAAAAUGUCCGCUGGCUUCUGUAGGCAAGGGAUGGAGACUCAGAUUUUGUCUUGGUUGGGAAAAGGCCUUGGGGCUGAAUAUUGUGAAAAGGGCUGUACAAUCACUAGAGGGCUCCUGGGCUCUUCAGUGGCAUUGCCUGUCGACACCUCUCUCUGAUCUGUCCUUGCUCCUGCUCUGCAAGUAGCCAUUCCCUGCCCUCUCUUGCAACGCUGCGAGGGACACCCAGAUGAUGCCUUGCCAGACACCCAGAAAAGGGACAAGCUUGAGGGGACCGAGGGAAAACCCGAGGACAUGGUGAGAAGAUGCGAUGAAAAGCUCAUGGGACAAGGCUCAACUUCCUCACUCGUCUCUCUCAGUCACUGCUGUGCAGCAGUUUUUAUCCCUUCUUAAAUACGCCAUCACAGAGGUGCCACCACCGUCGCUGAUGGGCUCAGCUUUGGCCAGCAGUGGGUCCAUCUUGGAGCCACUGGAACAGGCUCUGUUGGACACGGGGGCAGCUUCUGGCACCUUCUCCCCCACUACGAAAACCUUGCCACAGAAACCCAAUACAGGUGACGCCAGUCAAUUAAAGCCUUGGGGUUUGGAGAUGCCAUCCUGGAAGUGAUGCCCUGGCCUGAUCUCAUGGUGCUGUUCCCAAGGACUUGCUCACCAGACCCCUGCCGAUAGCACCAGGGAUCCCACGCAGGUUCCUGGUUGCUGUGGCUUCCCAUCACUGGGGCAUCUCCAUGGUUACCUUGGGAGCUGCGGACGUCCCUUCCCUGCUUCUAGACCCUGCCCCUCCUGUGUCCAGGCAGGUCCUCCCGCAAGCCACCGCACCUCCUCUCUUCUGACUGGCACAGCUUGGUCUGGUGGAAGGCUGGAGAGGUGGGGACACUUGUCCCCUCCCUCCGUAGAGCUGGAGAUGGCAAUUACUGUCAAGAAUGGGCUUCCCAUGUGAGGACAACCAUGCGCCAAGCUGGGAGCCACAGCUGUGUGAGGGGUUGCACCACAAGUUCAAACGGCCAGAGCACCUGGCACCUCUGCUCAAGACCACGGGAGGAAGAGCAGCGUCCAUUUGGGACAGGAGACGCUGAGCAGGAGACCUGAGACACAAGAAGGAGAUGCAAAGGGAGACCCCUCAGGGCAUGCAUGAGGAGGUGUGUGAGGAGAGGAGAGAGGGGGAAGCAGAGGAGACCUGUAGGAGGGGGCACUGUUGGAAGAAGGUAUUCCAUGCUGGAGGUGGUACACCCUGAGGGGACUACAGCCCAUGGAGCACCUGUGCUGGAGCAGGGACACUGCUGGGAGAAUGAAACCCAUCGAGGAACCCCCACUGGAGCAAAGGAGCAGUAGGAAGACACCUCUGAAUAUCACCAUGGAUGGAGACUCCACAGCAUCUCUGGGCAACCUGUUCCAGUGUUUGGCCACCUAAAAGAUGGCUUUCUUCUGCUUGA